rnacentral:rRNA from 1 species
UACGUAGGUCCCGAGCGUUGUCCGGAUUUAUUGGGCAUAAAGCGAGCGCAGGUGGUUUAUUAAGUCUGGUGUAAAAGGCAGUGGCUCAACCAUUGUAUGCAUUGGAAACUGGUAGACUUGAGUGCAGGAGAGGAGAAUGGAAUUCCAUGUGUAGCGGUGAAAUGCGUAGAUAUAUGGAGGAACACCGGUGGCGAAAGCGGCUCUCUGGCCUGUAACUGACACUGAGGCUCGAAAGCGUGGGGAGCAAACAGG